rnacentral:rRNA from 1 species
GAUGAACGCUGGCGGCGUGCCUAAUACAUGCAAGUCGAGCGAACAGACGAGGAGCUUGCUCCUCUGACGUUAGCGGCGGACGGGUGAGUAACACGUGGAUAACCUACCUAUAAGACUGGGGUAACUUCGGGAAACCGGAGCUAAUACCGGAUAAUAUAUUGAACCGCAUGGUUCAAUAGUGAAAGACGGUUUUGCUGUCACUUAUAGAUGGAUCUGCGCCGCAUUAGCUAGUUGGUAAGGUAACGGCUUACCAAGGCAACGAUGCGUAGCCGACCUGAGAGGGUGAUCGGCCACACUGGAACUGAGACACGGUCCAGACUCCUACGGGAGGCAGCAGUAGGGAAUCUUCCGCAAUGGGCGAAAGCCUGACGGAGCAACGCCGCGUGAGUGAUGAAGGUCUUCGGAUCGUAAAACUCUGUUAUUAGGGAAGAACAAAUGUGUAAGUAACUAUGCACGUCUUGACGGUACCUAAUCAGAAAGCCACGGCUAACUACGUG